GGAGUCGUACCCAAGCGGCCUAAGGGAACGGUCUGCAAAACCGUCUUUCAGCGGUUCGAAUCCGCUCGACUCCU
rnacentral:tRNA from 1 species